UACGUAGGGUGCGAGCGUUGUCCGGAAUUACUGGGCGUAAAGAGUUCGUAGGCGGUUUGUCGCGUCGUUCGUGAAACUUGGGGCUUAACUCCAAGCGUGCGGGCGAUACGGGCAGACUUGAGUACUACAGGGGAGACUGGAAUUCCUGGUGUAGCGGUGAAAUGCGCAGAUAUCAGGAGGAACACCGGUGGCGAAGGCGGGUCUCUGGGUAGUAACUGACGCUGAGGAACGAAAGCGUGGGGAGCGAACAGG
rnacentral:rRNA from 1 species